rnacentral:rRNA from 1 species
GUCGAGCGAGCGGAACCACAGAUUUACUUCGGUAAUGACGUUGGGAAAGCGAGCGGCGGAUGGGUGAGUAACACGUGGGGAACCUGCCCCUAAGUCUGGGAUACCAUUUGGAAACAGGUGCUAAUACCGGAUAAUAAAGCAGAUCGCAUGAUCAGCUUUUGAAAGGCGGCGUAAGCUGUCGCUAAGGGAUGGCCCCGCGGUGCAUUAGCUAGUUGGUAAGGUAACGGCUUACCAAGGCGACGAUGCAUAGCCGAGUUGAGAGACUGAUCGGCCACAUUGGGACUGAGACACGGCCCAAACUCCUACGGGAGGCAGCAGUAGGGAAUCUUCCACAAUGGACGCAAGUCUGAUGGAGCAACGCCGCGUGAGUGAAGAAGGUUUUCGGAUCGUAAAGCUCUGUUGUUGGUGAAGAAGGAUAGAGGUAGUAACUGGCCUUUAUUUGACGGUAAUCAACCAGAAAGUCACGGCUAACUACGUGCCAGCAGCCGCGGUAAUACGUAGGUGGCAAGCGUUGUCCGGAUUUAUUGGGCGUAAAGCGAGCGCAGGCGGAAAAAUAAGUCUAAUGUGAAAGCCCUCGGCUUAACCGAGGAACUGCGUCGGAAACUGUUUUUCUUGAGUGCAGAAGAGGAGAGUGGAACUCCAUGUGUAGCGGUGGAAUGCGUAGAUAUAUGGAAGAACACCAGUGGCGAAGGCGGCUCUCUGGUCUGCAACUGACGCUGAGGCUCGAAAGCAUGGGUAGCGAACAGGAUUACAUACCCUGGUAGUCCAUGCCGUAAAC